AGACUUGGGCUUGCACUCCCGCAGCAGGCCACAUUGUGAAGCCAACAAGCUGUCGCACCACAUGGGAACCACUGCAGCUGCGGCUUCAGCUGCUUCUGUCGAGGAAUGUGGGUCACAGCAGCUUGAACCUAGUGACAGGCCAUCUGGUGCUGGUGACGUGGAAGCUUUUCAGCCCUCGGUUUCUCAAGAUGCACAAAGCAGCACCGAGCAAGUGGUGCCAGAGGAGCUCG